AACGGCAGCACGGGAGCAAUCCUGGUGGCGAGUGGCGAACGGGUGAGUAAAGUAUCGGAACGUGCCCAGUCGUGGGGGAUAACGCAGCGAAAGUUGUGCUAAUACCGCAUACGAUCUAUGGAUGAAAGCGGGGGAUCGCAAGACCUCGCGCGAUUGGAGCGGCCGAUAUCAGAUUAGGUAGUUGGUGGGGUAAAGGCUCACCAAGCCGACGAUCUGUAGCUGGUCUGAGAGGACGACCAGCCACACUGGAACUGAGACACGGUCCAGACUCCUACGGGAGGCAGCAGUGGGGAAUUUUGGACAAUGGGCGCAAGCCUGAUCCAGCAAUGCCGCGUGCAGGAUGAAGGCCUUCGGGUUGUAAACUGCUUUUGUACGGAACGAAAAGGCUCUGGUUAAUACCUGGGGCACAUGACGGUACCGUAAGAAUAAGCACCGGCUAACUACGUGCCAGCAGCCGCGGUAAUACGUAGGGUGCGAGCGUUAAUCGGAAUUACUGGGCGUAAAGCGUGCGCAGGCGGUAAUGCAAGACAGAUGUGAAAUCCCCGGGCUUAACCUGGGAACUGCAUUUGUGACUGCAUUGCUGGAGUGCGGCAGAGGGGGAUGGAAUUCCGCGUGUAGCAGUGAAAUGCGUAGAUAUGCGGAGGAACACCGAUGGCGAAGGCAAUCCCCUGGGCCUGCACUGACGCUCAUGCACGA
rnacentral:rRNA from 1 species